AACGAACGCUGGCGGCAGGCUUAACACAUGCAAGUCGAGCGCCCCGCAAGGGGAGCGGCAGACGGGUGAGUAACGCGUGGGAAUCUACCCAUCUCUACGGAAUAACGCAUGGAAACGUGUGCUAAUACCGUAUACGUCCUUCGGGAGAAAGAUUUAUCGGAGAUGGAUGAGCCCGCGUUGGAUUAGCUAGUUGGUGGGGAAAAGGCCUACCAAGGCGACGAUCCAUAGCUGGUCUGAGAGGAUGAUCAGCCACACUGGGACUGAGACACGGCCCAGACUCCUACGGGAGGCAGCAGCGGGGAAUAUUGGGCAAUGGGCGCAAGCCUGAUCCAGCCAUGCCGCGGGAGUGAUGAAGGCCCUAGGGUUGUAAAGCUCUUUCACCGGUGAAGAUAAUGACGGUAACCGGAGAAGAAGCCCCGGCUAACUUCGUGCCAGCCGCCGCCGUAAAAC
rnacentral:rRNA from 1 species